rnacentral:rRNA from 1 species
CGUGCAGGCGGUUCGGUAAGUUGGAUGUGAAAGCUCCUGGCUCAACUGGGAGAGGUCAUUCAAUACUGUCGGACUUGAGGAUGGUAGAGGGAGGUGGAAUUCCGGGUGUAGUGGUGAAAUGCGUAGAUAUCCGGAGGAACACCAGUGGCGAAAGCGGCCUCCUGGACCAUUUCUGACGCUCAGACGCGAAAGCUAGGGGAGCAAACGGGAUUAGAGACCCCGGUAGUCCUAGCUGUAAACGAUGUAGACUUGGCGUCGGUGGGUUAAAUCCAUCGGUGUCGUAGCUAACGCGAUAAGUCUACCGCCUGGGGACUACGACCGCAAGGUUAAA